AUGCGAAAGGCGGCGGCGUUAGCUGCUGUGGCGGUGGUCGCGGCCGCAGCUGCCAUCGCCGUGCGCCAGAGGCUGCGGGAGGCGAAGCGGUGGGCGCGCGUGGCCGCCGUGCUGUCGGACCUGCAGGAGCGGUGCGUGGCGCCGGCGGCGCGGCUGCUGCAGGUGUCGGACGCGAUGGACGUUGAGAUGCGCGCGGGGCUCGCCUCCGAGGACGGGAGCAAGCUCAAGAUGCUCGUCACCUACGUUGACUCCCUCCCCUCCGGGGAUGAGAAAGGGCUAUUUUAUGCACUUGACCUCGGAGGAACAAACUUCCGUGUUUUACGAGUUCAAUUAGGGGGCAAGGAACAGCGAGUUAUCAAGCAAGAAUCUGUAGGGGUAUCCAUUCCGCAGCAUUUAAUGUCCAGAAGCUCGCAUGAACUAUUUGAUUUUAUCGCCGCUGCUUUAGCAAAGUUUGUUGCCUCUGAGGGUGAAGAUUAUCAUCUUCCGGAGGGCACUCAGAGAGAACUCGGUUUUACAUUCUCCUUUCCAGUGAAGCAAACUUCAAUUUCAUCCGGCACACUUAUCAAGUGGACAAAGGGUUUUGCAAUUGAGGAAAUGGUUGGCAAGGAUAUCGUGGCUGAAUUAAACGAGGCUAUAAAACGUCAAGGACUUGUUAUGAAAGUCUCAACAUUGGUGAAUGAUACCGUUGGGACUCUGGCUGCUGGGAGGUAUGUAGAUAAUGAUACUAUGGUUGCUGUAAUACUGGGAACUGGUACUAAUGCAGCAUACAUAGAGCAUGGAGAUGCCAUUCCUAAAUGGCAUGCUCCCCUGCCCAAGUCCGGAGAUAUGGUAAUAAACAUGGAGUGGGGAAAUUUCAAGUCCGCUCAUCUUCCACUCACUGAAUUUGAUCAAGCUUUGGAUGCAGAGAGUUUGAACCCCGGAGAACAGAUUUAUGAGAAGUUGACCUCUGGUAUGUAUAUGGGGGAAAUUGUCCGAAGAAUCUUGUUACAGAUGGCUCAAGAAGCUGCUCUCUUUGGUGACAAUAUACCUCCAAAACUAGAGACCCCAUACAUUCUAAAGUAUGUUGUUCCAGUUAUCCAUUACUUUAUCAUGCAAAAAAAAAAAUACUUCUCCUGA
rnacentral:rRNA from 1 species